GUUACCGCUCCCACUGGAAGGCUAUUCCAGGUAUCUACUACCCUUUCUAUAUCACUGUUACCGCUCCCACUGGAAGGCUAUUCCAGGUAUCUACUACCCUUUCUAUAUCACUGUUACCACUCCCACUGGAAGGCUAUUCCAGGUAUCUACUACCCUUUCUAUAUCACUGUUACUGCUCCCACUGGAAGGCUAUUCCAGGUAUGUACUACCCUUUCUAUAUCACUGUUAC